rnacentral:lncRNA from 1 species
AUUACUCUCUCUCUCUCUCUCUCUCUCUCUCUCUCUCUCUCUCUCUCUCUCUCUCUCUCUCUCUUCUUUGUAGUACCACAACCGCUGCCCUACCGAAAGCCUUCUUCAAAAAAACCAUAAACCACCUCAAUCCAAUGGGUUAGGCUAUAAAGCAUCUCAAAUGGAGAGAUAAUGAGGGCUACAGAUCCGGCCCACGAUCCCUAGCCGUCUUUGCUUGCAGAGGUGUAGUUAAAAAGUUCCGUUAUCUAUUCUUCGACUUCAUAUUCUUUGUAGCAAUUAACUUCUUACCAAUUGCCUCAUCUCCUUUUCCCAGCAAGAAUCUAUAAGGUAUUUAAUGUCUUAUCCACAUGUAAUUUACAAAAUUUUGGUGUCGAUUGACAUGAUGGUUUGUUAGUCUUAAGUUAGUAGCUCGAUUCGGUUUGUUUUUUUAUACUCCAAUUUGAUAAUAACAUUUGUUAGUGAUAAGUAUCAAUAUGGUUUUUAUAAUUCGUGUCAUUUGGAUCUCUCGGUUCAUUUAACAGGUUGAAGAUCAAAUUGAAAAACAUAAUGGUAAUUAUUUUGGUUGUAGGUUUUGAUUUGGUUUUGGCUAGACUGCUGGAGUGGUUGAUGGUGGUUGCCAAAGUGGGCUAACAGUAGUAGUAGUAGUUGGAGGUAAAGGGGUCCGACAUUGACAUUGGUCAUCAAUAGUCACGGAGGCUUUCAACACUUGGGGCAUUUAAUUUAACAAAUAUAUAGGAAAUAAAUUAAUUAAAAAUACAUUAGUAAUUAAGAAAAAAAUAAUAUUUUUAGGUAUGUCAGGAUAAAAACAAAACUGAAAAAAAAUAAAAAAAAAAAUAAUAAUAAUUAUAAGGACCUUCCUUGUUAAAAAGAUAGAUAAUAACAAAACAGACAAACUUAUACAACUAUAGGGACUAUUCGGAUAAUUUCUCUUAAAACAAUAGAAUAAAAGGCAACCCAAAGUUGGCAGGUGAAGCGCCGAAUAUACUAUUGUCAAACAAAACAAUGGCGGCCAUGUCACCCGGGGCAAACCAGGGUUGGACAACGGCGAAGAAGACGCCGCCCCUCUAUAGCCACCGGAGACCGGCGAUUGUUCUUGGAUAAUCCGAUUCUUCGACAUGGCGGAAAAUGGAGGCGGAUGUUCUUGGUUUGUUGAUAUGCAGAGGGUGACAGGUUGUCGGUGGACGGUUGGUUUCAAAUCCAACCUCCUUUUGGUAUAAGCCAAUAAGGCGCCAUCCCAUCAGGAAUUUGGCUCUCUGGAACUGCAAUCGAAGGUAUAAAGUUAUUUGCAAUCGAUUUCCUGGUUUAUUUCUGUUUUGAAAAGAAAAAAAAAAAAAUCUACAUGGCGAUGCCAAACCGAUUGGUCGAACUAACAAAAAGAUCGAGAAGGAUUUUGUUCAAUUUUGAAAGCCUACCUUGUUCCAGUCAUUCUUACUAGUUAGGGACGGAAGAAGGCAGUUAGCAAAAGUUUGUGAGACAAAAAUAUCAUUCUAGUAUCUUGCUUUUAAUUAGCUCUGAAAACUGACGAGUCUCUUUGUCACUUUUAACGACAGAUGCCACAUUGACACACUCAAAAAGUUCUCCAGAUCUAUGCUGACGUGGUUCAUGGAAUGAACAGAUGAUAAGAAAUUCAAAUCUUUCGCAUGCCUACAAUAACUGUAUAAGGCCUAGGGGUGUCAAUUUAUGACACGACACGACAAAAAUACACGACACGAAACGAAAUCGGGACGAAAUCAAAAUUCGAAUUCGUUUUCGUGUCGUGUUCGUGUCAAGUUUAUAAAACACGAUGUCGUGUCGUGUCGUGUUCGUGUUUACAAAUCCACACGAAAUUGACACGAUUGAGCAUGUAUUUGUCGUAUUUUCGUGUUUGUCGUUUUUAUCGUGUUAUAUAUGAUUAAAUAUGAAUUAAAAAAAAUAAUAGUUAUGUAAUAUUAUCUUUGUUGUGUCGUGUCGUGUUGUCGUUUUUUAAUUGGUUCGUUUUCGUGUUAGUGAAAAAAAACACGACAUCGUGUCGUGUUCGUGUUACAAAAAACCUUAUCGUGUCGUGUCGUGUCAGACAAAAACACGACACGACGACCCGAUUUGACAGGCCUAAUAAGGCCACCACCGUUCCAAUUGAUAAUUUUU